rnacentral:tRNA from 1 species
GCCUGGGUGGCUCAGUUGGUUGAGCGUCCAACUUCGGCUCAGGCCAUGAUCUUGCAGUUCAUGGGUUCAAGCCCCAUAUCGGGCU